UAAUAGUGUAUAUUAAAGUUGUUGCAGUUAAAAAGCUCGUAGUUGAAUGUUGGUGUCGAACGAGCGGUCAGCUUCGGCUGUACUGCUCUCUCGACUCCUUCCUUCUGUGGACUACGUCGCACUUUACUGUGUGGCGCUAGGACGCAGAUCGUUUACUGUGAAAAAAUUAGAGUGUUCAAAGCAGGCCGUACGCUUGAAUACAUUAGCAUGGAAUAAUAAGAUAGGACUUUGGUGCUAUUUUGUUGGUUGAGCCUAAAGUAAUGAUUAAUAGGGAUAGUUGGGGGCACCUGUAUUGCGUUGUCAGAGGUGAAAUUCUUGGAUUUACGGAAGACGAACUACUGCGAAAGCAUUUACCAAGGAUGUUUUCAUUAA
rnacentral:rRNA from 1 species